UCUUUCCGGGGUAAUAUCCUGGGGAGCUGACGGUACCACUGAAGGAAGCACCGGCUAACUCCGUGCCAGCAGCCGCGGUAAUACGGAGGGUGCAAGCGUUAUUCGGAAUUACUGGGCGUAAAGGGCGCGCAGGCGGCCUUGUAAGUCAGUUGUGAAAGCCCGGGGCUCAACCUCGGAAGUGCGACUGAAACUGCAGGGCUUGAGUAUGGUAGAGGGAAGUGGAAUUCCAGGUGUAGCGGUGAAAUGCGUAGAUAUCUGGAGGAACACCGGUGGCGAAGGCGACUUCCUGGACCAAAACUGACGCUGAGGCGCGAAGGCGUGGGUAGCAAACAGGAUUAGAUACCCUGGUAGUCCACGCAGUAAACGUUGAUCACUAGGUGCUGCGGGUAUUGAUACUUGCAGUGCCGGAGCUAACGCAUUAAGUGAUCCGCCUGGGGAGUACGGUCGCAAGAUUAAAACUCAAAGGAAUUGACGGAUU
rnacentral:rRNA from 1 species